CUGUGCUUAGCACGUUUUAGGAAUGUGUAUUUCUGCAAUAUCAGCACUGUUCUUGCCAGAUUGUGUGAGCAGGUCCUGCCUCAUACCAGGCCUCUGAUACAAGAUAUCUCAGGUGCUCUUCCUACUACAAAGACUAGGAAGGUGUGCAGCACC